rfam:Camelus ferus unplaced genomic scaffold scaffold1185, whole genome shotgun sequence.
GGGUAUAGCUCAGUGGUGGAGCAUGUGCUUAGCAUGCAUGAGGUCCUGGGUUCUAUCCCCAGUACCUCCA